rnacentral:rRNA from 1 species
UACGUAGGGGGCAAGCGUUGUCCGGAAUUAUUGGGCGUAAAGAGCGUGUAGGCGGUCCGGUAAGUCAGCUGUGAAAGUCAAGGGCUCAACCCUUGAAUGCCGGUUGAUACUGUCGGGCUAGAGUCCGGAAGAGGCGAGUGGAAUUCCCGGUGUAGCGGUGAAGUGCGCAGAUAUCGGGAGGAACACCAAUGGCGAAGGCAGCUCGCUGGGACGGUACUGACGCUGAGACGCGAAAGCGUGGGGAGCAAACAGG